AGGGCCGUAUUUUUUUUAAAAAAAUAUUAAAAUUAUCGAGUAAUGGCGUAAAUUGUGAAAAUUUGAAUAAUGGCAUGGUUACUUGAUUGGGUUAAUGUGAUAUCAUUAUUUGUAAGAGGGAACAAGUGUUAUUAGUGUGUGUGUGUGUAUACAAGUGUGGGUGGGUAGUAUGGAAUAAUUUUUCCUCUUUCUUUUUCUAUGUCAGCCGACACACACAUAUCAUCUCUCCCUCUCUCUCUAACUCUCAUCCGGCUCUCUCGCCUCUCACCCCUCCAUCAACUUCUCUCCUAAAUUUCAUCUUCUUAGAGUAAGAUUCCAGACAAAGUCCGAGAAUUAAAGUUGUUCUACGGAGCACGGGCUUUCCGAAUAUCCAAGAAAAAUCAUGAUCGGACCACGUGGGAGUUCGGUUGACUUGGUCAAAGGUUCGGAUUUUGCUCAAAACCCAUGAGGUACACUACAGAGACACAGUCUUGGAGGGUGUGAAGUGCAUGCAGACAUCACAGACUAAAGUUGUUUUCUGAAGUACUUGUCUUUCAUCGUAAAUUAAAUUGUAUUGUACUAUUUUCUCUAUUUUAGAAUACUAUAUCAAUUGACGGAUUUGUGAGAUUCAGAAACUGUAUUGUAAUUUGGGGUACCGUAUGUACUGUUGUGAGGACUUGUAUUUAAAAUGGUAUUUUAUUUAUGUUAAAAA